rnacentral:snoRNA from 1 species
CCUGGAGGACUAAGAAAGUAGAGCCCGUGAAGUCAAGUUGACUCUACUGAUACUAUCCUCCUAAAUCAAACGGUAGAAGAACAGGACCUGUCUCUGAGAUGGAGUCAGGACUUACUUAAGCUACCAACAAUC